rnacentral:rRNA from 1 species
AGUGAACGCUGGCGGUAGGCCUAACACAUGCAAGUCGAACGGCAGCACAGUAAUAGCUUGCUCUUACGGGUGGCGAGUGGCGGACGGGGGAGGAAUACAUCGGAAGCUACUUUUUCGUGGGGGAGAACGUAGGGAAACUUACGCUAAUACCGCAUACGACCUACGGGUGAAAUCAUGGGAUCUUCGGACCUUGCGCGAUUGAAUGAGCCGAUGUCGGAUUAGCUAGUUGGCGGGGUAAAGGCCCACCAAGGCGACGAUCCGUAGCUGGUCUGAGAGGAUGAUCAGCCACACUGGAACUGAGACACGGUCCAGACUCCUACGGGAGGCAGCAGUGGGGAAUAUUGGACAAUGGGCGCAAGCCUGAUCCAGCCAUACCGCGUGGGUGAAGAAGGCCUUCGGGUUGUAAAGCCCUUUUGUUGGGAAAGAAAAGCAGCAGGUUAAUACCCUGCUGUUCUGACGGUACCCAAAGAAUAAGCACCGGCUAACUUCGUG